CUCACAGGCAGGUGGACAUGGAUGUGACCUGCCAUGGGUGGGAAUCCCCAGGCCCAUCUCUGCAAGAUGCCACUGUUCCUGCUGACUCAUGGUCAAGACACUGCCAUCUGGAAGCCCCUCUCCCAAUUCCUGGUUCUGGACUUGUGAGGUUGUCAGGCUGCACCCGGGAUGGCUCCCCUCCCAACAGACCCAGCUCCUCACUGGCCACACUACCCUGUCCCGUUGGCUGCUCUGCCUCGACACAGGUCUUUCAGGCCUGGCUUAAAAAUGACAUGCCUUGGGCUGGGGAUGUGGCUCAAGCGGUAGUGUUCUCGCCUGGCAUGCGCGCGGCACUGGGUUCGAUCCUCAGCACCACAUACAAAGAUGUUGUGUCCACCGAAAACUAAAAAAAAAAAAAAAAAAAAUAUUAAAAAAUUCUCUCUCUCUCUCUCUCUCUCUCUCUAAAAGAAAAAAAAAAAAAGAAUGGCAGGCCUUGGGUGGACUGCUCCUUCCUUCCUGCCCUGGACACAUGCAGGCUCCCACUGUCCAGACCACACUCCACCCGCCCUGUCUCAGGCAGCUCAGCCUUCUAUGAUUCCUACCUUGACUCUGGGCUGCUCUUUUCCUGUUCCUAAAAUGUGCUUCAAACAUAGAUUUUGCAAGGAGUCUCUGCUAGCUGAAAUCUUUGUGCCUGGCAAAGACUUGGUUCUGAAUAGAUCUCCAAGGAGCCCCUCCCUCUGGCCUGGAUGGAGCCCCUGCCUUCAUUAUUUCCUUGGCACCCAUCUGCUGCUGGAGGGGACAGGCUGCUUCCUGCUGGCCCACUUUUGCAUGGAAAGCGAGUCUUCCCUCAGGUGGGAUUUGCCACUUGAGAAUCUGCUCCCUGUAGAAGGACCACAUGUUCUUCCUAGCGCUUUCCUCUUGCCUUAAUCUGUUUUCUGUUGCUAUUACUGAAUACCACAGACUGGGUAAGUUAUAAAAUACAGAGGUUGAUUUGCUGAACGGUUCUGCAGACCAGGAACCCAAGUACAGAUUCUGAUAUCAGGUGAGGGUUUUAUUGACUGCAUGAUAAUAUGGCACAGGGUUAGAGCAAGCAUGCUCCCUCAGGUCUCUCUUCCUCUCCUUAUAAAGCCAUCAAUGCCAGCAUGGAAGCCUCAUUUUCAUGACUGCUUUGAAUUCUAAUUAUCUCCCAUCUUCAAAUACCAUUAACAUAUGAGUGUGAUAUUAGGUUCCAACACAGGAAUGGGGUGACACACCCCUGGGGAGCAAUGGGAGGUGGGGGAGGCCUCCCUCCCCAGCAGCCCCCGCAGUCCACCCAGAGGCUGCUCAGCCCAGCAUUCUCUCCCUUCCGGCUGCUCCCUGGUCUCCAGGGCCCCAGCCGUAAGCAGUCAACAUCACUCAGCGCUCUGUGCUGGCUGCCAGCUCCUCCCCAGCUCUCAGGGACCCUCUGCUCUGUUAGUACACAACGCACUCAUCGAUUUUAAGUCGUUUAUUUCUUUUCACAUUUCCCAUCUCUGAAAUCGAACGUGCCGACGAUCAAUAGUGUAGCAUAGUUUAAGUUAUGGUUUUUAGUGGCGCGUAAACUAUCGCCUUAGUUGGUGCCUCUUAAAUUCCUAAACCCCACAUGCUCUCAGACGUGUGCUCCUGGUGCCUCCUCCAGCUCAGCAUCUGUUCCCAGACUCACAGGGGCCUUCCUCUCGGGCUCUCUCUGGCAUCAUCACAUCCCUUUUCCGUACACCUAAUGGCGUGUCACCCUGGAUCUGGCAUCGCGACAAUUACGUUUGUUUUUCGGCUCAUGGUUUGGUUUUGAAGUUACUUGAUAGAAAGGCAGCCAUGGCUCCAAUGUCCCCAGUUUAACAGUGACUGAAAGUGAUUACUCAGGGUAGGGUUUUGUGAAACCGAGGGGGUUUAUUGAAAGAAUAAAUAGGCCCUUUUGUUAAACUCUAUAAAUCAUGAAUAGCCAUGUAAGGCAAACACACACACCCACACACACCCACACACACCCACACACACAUCCACACACACAUUCACACACACCCCCACACACACACCCACACACACCCACACACAUCCACACACACCCACACACACCCACAAACACACACACACCCACACACACAUCCACACACAUCCACACACACCCACACACAUCCACACACAUCCACACACACACACACACAAACACAUCCACACACACCCCCACACACAUUCACACACAUCCACACAAACACACCCACACACACCCAUACACAUCCACACACAUCCACACACACACACCCACACACAUACACACACCCACACACACACACACAUCCACACACCCACACAUCCACACACCCACACACACCCACAAACACAUCCACACACACACACAUCCACACACACCCCCCACACACACCCAUACACAUCCACACACACACCUACACACAUCCACACACACUCACACACAAACCCACACACAUCCACACACAUCCACACACUACACCAGGGUGCAGUGCAUACGUGCAUGGAGGCACACUUUGAGAGAGACAGACAACCAGAGAGCAGAGACAAGCAGAGGUGGAGAGGCAGGACUACUAGAUGGAUGACCAGGUCCUGGGCAAAUGACAGCAGCAUCCUCCCAUGGAAGGAAAAUGCAUCCUCAUACAACUAGGCUUGGACCACGCAGGAGUCUCAGGGAGGUGUCUGAGUGCUUCCCAGACACUGUUGUGGUGCUGGAUGUCUGAGUCUAUCCCGCUCACCUGUGAUCCGAAGACCUUCAGGCCAGCACACUGCCCCUGCCUCCAAGUCAGCCUCUCCGCGCUGGCAGCAACAGGGAUCUGAGCUGGAGGUGGGUGGGUCGAGAUCCAGCCUGCUCACCCACCAGGUGGACUUUCCCACCCAGAUCUAUUUUCCCAGUGGCUCGUUUUCUACAAGUGGUGGGUCUCAUCCCCCUC
rnacentral:lncRNA from 1 species